rnacentral:rRNA from 1 species
CAUAUUAGAAUUUGUUUAGUAGUCUAAGAUAUGCAGGUUGAAAGACCUGAUUAAUACUGGAUAUAAAAAGACUGUAAGUUGCUACUAAGUAAGCUGGUACAAGAUUAAGUAGUUGGUUAAGGUAAUGGCUUACCAAGCUUAUGAUCUUUAGCUGGUCUGGAAGGACGGCCAGCCACAUUGGGACUGAGACAAGGCCCAAACUCCUACGGGGGUCAGCAGUGAGGAAUAUUGGACAAUGGGCUAACGCUUGAUCCAGCGACGCCUUGUUUGAGGAAGUAGGCAUAACGUCGUGAACCAAUU